UACAGAGGUCUCGAGCGUUAGGCGGAAUCACUGGGCUUAAAGCGUGUGUAGGCGGAUCGGUAAGUACCUUGUGAAAUCCCACAGCUUAACUGUGGAACUGCUUGGUAUACUGCCAGUCUUGAGCCACUUAGGGGCUACCGGAACAAAUGGUGGAGCGGUGAAAUGCGUAGAUAUCAUUUGGAACGCCAAUGGUGAAAACAAGUAGCUGGGAGUGUGCUGACGCUGAGACACGAAAGCCAGGGGAGCAAACGGG
rnacentral:rRNA from 1 species